UCAAGAACUCUCAAGCCUUCGAGAGUUCAUAGAUGAUUCUGUGAAGAGUGUUAUGAAGGUGAUAAACAGGAGGUACGAUGUGGACGAGUCAAAGUUUGCUGGUAGUUCAACCAAAAAUAAUGACCAACAACAAGGAGAGAACAACCAGCAAUUUCAGUUCAAUAUUGGUGAUCAAAUGCAUGCAAGCACAAGCAAUACAGCUGCAGUUUCUCCGGAACAUGUUCAAGCACAUGUUGACUUAUAUCCUGAUUUUCAAGAAGCAUCUGGGGCAGAUA